UCUAUUAAAAUCUGGAGUAAAUGUUUUCAGACUCAACAUAUGUUUGAGCAGCUUUCAGGUCUUCAACAAAAGGAAAAGAAUCUGAUGGAGGUUAAUAGGGCUCUGAGGAGCAAGCUCGAAGAAACUAAUGCAGCAAUACGAGAAACCUGGCAACAAGGGGAACGGAACAUGCCCUAUCGACCCCUGCAGCUGGCUCAGCCUGAGGCAUUUCUG